UACGUAGGUGGCAAGCGUUGUCCGGAAUUAUUGGGCGUAAAGCGCGCGCAGGCGGCCUCUUAAGUCUGAUGUGAAAGCCCCCCGGCUCAACCGGGGGAGGGCCAUUGGAAACUGGGAGGCUUGAGUAUAGGAGAGAAGAGUGGAAUUCCACGUGUAGCGGUGAAAUGCGUAGAGAUGUGGAGGAACACCAGUGGCGAAGGCGACUCUUUGGCCUAUAACUGACGCUGAGGUGCGAAAGCGUGGGGAGCAAACAGG
rnacentral:rRNA from 1 species